rnacentral:rRNA from 1 species
GACGAACGCUGGCGGCGUGCUUAACACAUGCAAGUCGAACGGAAAGGCCCUGCUUUUGUGGGGUGCUCGAGUGGCGAACGGGUGAGUAACACGUGAGUAACCUGCCCUUGACUUUGGGAUAACUUCAGGAAACUGGGGCUAAUACCGGAUAGGAGCUCCUGCUGCAUGGUGGGGGUUGGAAAGUUUCGGCGGUUGGGGAUGGACUCGCGGCUUAUCAGCUUGUUGGGGGGGUAGUGGCUUACCAAGGCUUUGACGGGUAGCCGGCCUGAGAGGGGGACCGGCCACAUUGGGACUGCGAGACGGCCCAGACUCCUACGGGCGGCAGCAGUGGGGAAUAUUGCACAGUGGGCGGAAGCCUGAUGCAGCAACGCCGCGUGCGUGAUGACGUCCUUCGGGUUGUAAACCGCUUUCGCCUGUGCCGAAGCGUGAGUGACGGUAAUGGGUAAAGAAGCGCCGGCUAACUACGUG